rnacentral:rRNA from 1 species
UACAGAGGUCUCAAGCGUUGUUCGGAUUCAUUGGGCGUAAAGGGUGCGUAGGCGGCGCGGUAAGUCGGGUGUGAAAUCUCGGAGCUUAACUCCGAAACUGCAUUCGAUACUGCCGUGCUUGAGGACUGGAGAGGAGACUGGAAUUUACGGUGUAGCGGUGAAAUGCGUAGAUAUGUGGAGGAACACCGAUGGCGAAGGCAGCCUUCUGGGCCAACACUGACGCUCAUGCACGAAAGCGUGGGGAGCAAACAGG